rnacentral:rRNA from 1 species
CCUACGGGUGGCAGCAGUGGGGAAUAUUGCACAAUGGGGGAAACCCUGAUGCAGCGACGCCGCGUGAGUGAAGAAGUAUCUCGGUAUGUAAAGCUCUAUCAGCAGGGAAGAAACUGACGGUACUUGACUAAGAAGCCCCGUCGAACUACGUGCUAGCAGCCGCGGUAAUAUGUAGGGGGCAAGCGUUAUCCGGAUUUACUGGGGGUAAAGGGAGCGUAGACGGCAGUGCAAGUCUGGAGUGAAAGGCGGGGGCUCAACCCCCGGACUGCACUGGAAACUGUACGGCUGGAGUGCAGGAGAGGUAAGUGGAAUUCGUAGUGUAGCGGUGAAAUGCGUAGAUAUUAGGAGGAACACCAGUGGCGAAGGCGGCUUACUGGACUGUAACUGACGUUGAGGCUCGAAAGCGUGGGGAGCAAACAGGAUUAGAUACCCGUGUAGUC